rnacentral:rRNA from 1 species
CAUUGUGUAUCCAUGAGUCUCGACCAAGUUACGUGCCAGCAGUCGCGGUAAUACGUAGAAGACUAGUGUUAUUCAUCUUUAAUGGGUUAAAAGGGUACCUAGACGGCAUAUAAGCCCUUAACUGGAACUGGUAUGCUAGAGUUACUUGUAAGGAAGUUGUAAAGUACUAGAGGAGUAGAGAUAAAAUUCAAUCAUACCUUUUUUCUUAGGAAAAACUUCGGCACAGGUAUAGGUGAAAACAUCUUCUUAUGGGAUAACUGACGUUGAGGGACGAAGGCUUUUUAUAAUGAACAGGAUUAGAUACCCUGGUAGUCGAAGCAGUAAACGCUGAGUGUCAUAGAUUAGAUUUAAAUUUAUUCUAUAAAUGAAAGUGUAAGCACUCCACCUCAAGAGUAAUUUGGCAACAUUGGAACUGAAAUCAUUAGACCGUAUCUGAAACCAGUAGUGAAGUAUGUUAUUUAAUUUGAUAAUCCGCAAAAAACCUUACCACAACUCGAAUACUUACAUAUUUACUUAUCUAACCUGUAUAUGUGCAGUUUCUUGCUUACGCAGCUACAUGUGCAGUUUCUUGCUUCCGUAGGUAUAUGACAGAAAUUGCAUCUUAUGCACUGUUCUGAAUAGGUAAUAAUAUAUAGAUACAAGUGUUGCACGGCUGUCUAAAGUUAAUGUCGUAAGAUUAUGGUUAGUUCCGUUAAAUUAACGCAAACCCUUGCCCUAUUUUUAAAUAGGGUAGUUCUCCGCUAUAAUGGAUAAGAU